rnacentral:pre_miRNA from 1 species
ACAGUGCCACGCUGGAUGUGCUCGUUGGUCAUAGAAACCGAUUCUGAAAAGGUCUAUGACUAGAGACACAUUCAGCUUGGCGCCAAA